AGGACGAACGCUGGCGCGCGCCUAAACGAGUGCAAGUCGAACGAGAAACCCGGGCUUGCCCGGGUGGACAGUGGCGAACGGGUGAGUAACACGUGAGGAACCUGCCCCGAAGACCGGGACAACACCGGGAAACCGGUGCUAAUACCGGAUACCUUCACCGAAUCGCAUGGUCUGGUGAAGAAAUGGAUUCCGCUUCGGGAUGGCCUCGCGGCCUAUCAGCUUGUUGGUGAGGUAAUGGCUCACCAAGGCGACGACGGGUAGCUGGUCUGAGAGGAUGUCCAGCCACACUGGGACUGAGACACGGCCCAGACUCCUACGGGAGGCAGCAGUUAGGAAUCUUGCGCAAUGGGCGAAAGCCUGACGCAGCGACGCCGCGUGCGGGAUGAAGGCCUUCGGGUUGUAAACCGCUUUCAGCAGGGACGAAAUUGACGGUACCUGCAGAAGAACGCCCCGGCCAACUACGCGCCAGCAGCCGC
rnacentral:rRNA from 1 species